UUCAGACAUUCAUCAGCAAGCAUUAGAGUCACUUGAGUGGCAGUGAAAAGGUUUAGCUGGAGAGGAUUGUCAAGGUACUACUCGGGGAAAGCAAGAUCAUAUGCUUGCAUCUCAGAUGUCAAAUGCCUAGAAGAUCUAAAGAAACCAACCCAUCCUCUUGAUGAUGAUGAUGAUGAUGAAGAUGAUGCCUACAAGAAGAGGAAGAAGAAGAAUAGGCAAUCAUCUUCAUCUUCAUUUUCUGCAGCUGUUAACAGCAAUGUUAAUUAUCAAAACUACCCGUGUCGUAGAGUCUCUAGUAGCACACACUGUUCCACACCUUGUGUCGGUGCUUAGCUUUUUUUUGCUUUCUUAAACCAGUUUCUUAAUUUACCACACCUUCAUCAGUCGCCCUUUGGCUUUUUCCCCAACCAAACACUCAAACACAUGCUAUUGUUAUAUUAAUUAUUUCUUAAUGUUUUUAUGGUCAGACAUCUUAUAAUUUGCACUAUUUUGUAGAUUUGUUCCAUAUCUUGCGCGUGUGUUGUGUAAGCCAGAGUGUUAGAAACCUUUUUAAGUGUAAAAUAAGCUUCAGAUAAUAAUCAGUAACCUAUAAAAUGUAGAGGUCAGUGAAAGAUAAAUGUAUUUAGAACUUCAGAGUUUGGUGAAUGAGCAGGGAGGGAGGGAUUCAUACUUCAUCCAACAACCAAUAGAUUAUUCAUACUGAUUUUUCAAAAAUAUUACUAUAUUAUUUUGAUGAUAUGAUAACAUAAAGAAAUAAUUCAAAGAAGACAGAGAGACAAAUAUUGCAACGAAAGUUUCCACUAUUGACGCAAGAAAGUGGAAGAUUAAAAAAAGGGAAUUCGGCCAAGAAAAUCACGAACUUUGCACGAAAUGCUAAAAUAAACCUGAAUUUUUGGACUGGUCAAAAAAAUACCAAACUUUUCAUUGACUUUAAAAUUUAUUAACAAUGUCUUUAUUGACUUGCCAAUUUAGCACGCCGUUAGCAAACUUAACAGAAAAAAAUUGACGGAACUGAAACAACGUCGUUUUUGUUUUACAUGAUCUGAAAAUAAAAACAAGUAGAACCCUGGAUUCGAACUCGGGUUGCUUGGGUGAAAUGAUAAUGUAUUUAACCACUGGGCUAAAGGCGUUUUCAAUAUAGUUCCAAACACAUUUAACUUUAUUUGGUACUCAAUGAAUAUAAAAAGUUCUCUAAAAACAUAAAAGAUCUUUAAAAUUACAAAAUAUUGAAAAAUAAAGAUUUUGUAAAAAACAAAU